GUAUGGCCGCGUUAGGGAUUGUAGUGAAAAGCCCACAGCGCGGGCUGGGAUUGCGGGCAGGAAAGGUGAGGACUUGUAACGGAAAGCCCGGGCCGCA
rnacentral:misc_RNA from 1 species